ACAACGGUGCAAUUUGCUUCUGGGUCCGAAGCUUCUUUAGAUCAGCUGCGAAAUGUGAUUGCCAAGUCUAUAUUUCUCGUGUUUCUGCGAUCUGGGCUGUUUGUUACAAUCUUUGAAUUUGGGCUGUGUCGAUUUGCAUCGCUUCUGGCGAGGCACGCGGUUGUUGCGUUUUGGUAGCAUGUGGUUUGGGUGGUUGAAAGGUUUGGUUUCAUGCAUCCACAGUUUAGGUUUUGAAAUCGCUGGCUUGGUUGUAGAAACACCACAUUCUGCAUGAUGUAGUGCGUUAAGGUGUUGAGAGCAGUUGAAUAGCAAGAUGGGCGUGGAGUCGAAGAAGUAUCCGUUUUCGGUGGAUACGUGGACCGAAAUGGCUAUGAGAAAGCCGUUUCAUUUCCUCACUCACGCUCACAAGGAUCAUACGGUGGGAAUUGAUUCUCACGGGACUCAUCCCAUUUACUGUACUUCUCUUACGGAGAAGCUUGUCCUUCGUCGCUAUCCCACGCUGCACCCGUCGUUGUUUAAAAACUUGGAGAUUGGAGAACCCAAGUUGCUAGCAGGUGAGGAUCAGGCGUUUACUGUCACGGCGUUUGACGCUAACCAUUGUCCUGCAAGCAGCGGUCAACAUUCCAUGUGUCCAGAGCCUCAUAAUAUUCAUUGGAUUGGUGUCUGAAGGUGCAAUAAUGUUGUUAUUCGAGGGAUCCUUUGGCACUUUGUUACACACAGGCGAUUGCAGGUUAACCAUAGAAUGCCUUAACCAGCUUCCAAGGCAGUUUAUCAGUGGAAGUGGGAGAGCCUUGGAUUGUGUAUAUUUGGACUGCACGUUCGGGAAUGUGACAAUGGUCAUGCCUUCAAUAGAGGAGGCUAUUGAACAGGUCAAACGAUGCAUUUGGAAUCAUUCAAGUGAAGCAAGAGUUUAUUUAGCAUGCGACAUGCUAGGACAAGAGACACUACUGGAAGCUGUUGCAAAUAGCUUUGGUCAAAAAAUAUUCAUUAAUAAAGACGGACUUUCUAGAUAUCUUGCAGACUUGGAGGUUGUAGCUUCAGAUUUCUUGACAAGUGAUAGCGAGUCUACGCGCUUUGAGAUAUGUGAGGGGUUUCCCAAGUUGUAUAAGAGGGCCAUGGAUGCCAUCAAGCAAGCAAAGAAUGAUGGUAGUGCACAGCCUCUCUUCAUACGACCAUCUGCUCAAUGGUACAGUUAUGAACAGCGUUUGGAAGGAGAUGGGUCGGGAGUAAUCAGCGGCCCUCCUUCUUUUAGUAGAUUUGGAGGAUCCAGACGUCGUAGUGUGACUUCUUCUUCAACACAAGCUGUAAGAGAUGGAUAUGGAGUAUGGCAUGUUUGCUAUUCCAUGCACUCUUCUCGCGGUGAGCUGGAGAGAGCUUUGAAGCUCCUGAAUCCAAAAGAAGUUAUCUCUACAACUCCUCGAGCGGGGGUUUGUGAUUUCUUGACUCAUCUUCGAGACCCUUUACCUUCAAGUAUGCCCGAAGGAGCCUUUAUUCUGAAGGCAGUAGACUAUCCUGUAUCGGAAGAUCGGGAGCUCAAAAGAGCGACGACCGACCACUGCAGUAUUCCAUCGAAGGUGAUAAAUAAUAAUGCUGUAGAGUCUCCCAAAAGAUCGACUCCCCUAUUCGGCUCUGCCCAGUAUGUUUUGCUUUCAUCACCUCCCUCGCCGUUAUCCUUUCCGUGUGUUGAUGUAUCUUCAUCUGCAGCAGCUCUUACAGUGGUUCCACAUUCACCCCCAGUUUUAGUUCUCUCACCUUUUCCAUCUGAAAACCCAGUCACUUCUUCUCAGGUUUCCAACUCUCCGGUUUGCUGCCAAGACUUGUCCUGGAAUCCGAGGACCAAAAGGCUCUUUGUAGAGCUAGAAUCUGAUAUAAAAACUAGUUCUCUUUCUGCAGAGACUGUCCCUAGACCAAGCAAAAGAAAUUGCCACAUACCUGAUCCAAUAUUAUCUGAGCCACCUCCUGGUUUAUCUUUACCGUCCAAAACCCCUUCCUCUUCCCCCAGAGAAAGUAUGCCUAAAGUGUCUGUUUCUCAUUCUGAUACUUCACUGGAGGUUCGGUCCAAAAGCCUCACUCGAGUCCCGAGCCGAAGAAAGUAUAGGAUUCCCAAUCCCAUGCCCUCAUUAGUGGACAUGAUUAACCACGAAUGAGGAGAACGAAGAGUUGGUGGUUUACUGGGGUGGCAAAUGGAAAGUUUGGUAGUGACCUACAAAAACGAAAAUGUUGCAACAUAACGCUGAUGUCGCCUCUGAAUACAAAUCGGCCCUUCUGCGGCUCUUUCGCACCAAGAACUGCUUUCUAAGUCGAGCAUUCCGCUUGAAUCCUAACGCCUAACCAGUCCCUAAUUCGUUCAAUUCUCGUUUUUCUGAUCCGAUUAGUGUUCAGAACGCAUUUUUUCCACGUGGAGCAACCAUUCAAAUUUUUUGGGGGUGUGAUAUUGAAGUCCCUAGCCAAGAAUUAUGCAUUGGCAUUUAUUUGAAGCUCCUAUCAGCUAUAUUCUCAUUGUUGAGAUUGACAUUAUCGAGUGUAGGAAUUGGGUUGUGCGUGGAGCCUGGUGAAGCUUCGGCCUCCCCAGCGCCAGGGGUUGGCGUCCCUGUCACUACCGACAGAAGCAUUUCAGAAAUCAUUCAGUGUUCAAAUCUUAGCCUUGCCUACCACUAAUUGUUUGUAGAUGAAUGUCUAUCCCAGAUGUGAGUGUUCUUCUGUAAGUGAGAAAACAGAGACCUUCGGCUCAUGAUACCCAGUUUCUCAUUCUGGAUGCUAAAACUGGCUCCGAGAUCUUGUCCGUUCGAGACUGAUAGAUGGGGGUGGAGUUCAACGCUGAAGCAUGUCAGUCGAAUUGUGACUCAUGGGGCAUCACCGAGAUCUCCAGUUCCUCAAAGCUCUACAAAAUAUGUAAUAUAUGUGUCUGUACAUACAUACAUACAUACAAUUGCUUAA